UUUUCAUUGAUUCCACCAUUUCCACUUCAAAAUCCAGAAUCCUGCAUGCUCCAUCCUCAAUUCUUAUAUAGAACAGCACAACCUCAUUGGGAUACCACCAUGUUUUCUGUGAUUUGGGACCAUUUUGAAGGGAUUUGGGGCUUGCAGCUGAUGGAAUUGGAUACUUCACUGGCCUCAAGCUACCUCCAGGGGCCAGUGCUAGAAGUGUUUGAUUUGUAUGUAAGACCAAAAUAUGGUUUUUAUCUGGACUCUUCAACCUUUUUAAAGCCAUAGGAUUCAUCCCCAAACAGGGUUGUACAACCUGGGGUGACAGAUCCUACACUGCCUCAACAAGGAAUUUUAUUUGCAUUGAUUAAAUCCUGUUGUGCAAUUAAAAAACAUAAGCCAAGGAAAGCUUUGCAUUUCUACAGCAGUCUACCUAAAGACUUCACAGUUUCUUCAUCAAAUGACUUCCAAUAAUUUUAGAUGCUGUAUUUAGUGGACUGCCUUCAAUCUGACAAUUAUCACCAAUUAACAGCAGCAAACUCAAUUCAAAAUCAACAUGAAAACCAGCAGGUUGGUCAUGCAGACACAUCUUUCUAAGGCAUGUUAAGAUUUCCUGGCUGGAAACUGAAUCUAGGAAAAUACAGGCCUAUAAUUAAGUCUGAAUAUUUCUUACAGUUGUUUCAAUUAACCAUAGGAACAUCUUAGUAAGGACUGUGUGAAAUUUGUUGUCACUUGAAGUCUUUAAUUGAAUCUUGUGGCUCCAAGUAAAUCACAGGCUGUGGGCUUGUUGAAGGGAGACAUAGAAUAAAGGACUGCAGUUUGUGUUAUUUAAAUAACA